AGCUACCAACUACGCUGGAAAUCACCCUUUAUAACUGGAAAAUGGAACCAAAGAUUUUCACUAGUUUAAUCUUUAUAUUGGGAUCCAUGCGAGGGUUUUAUUGUGAAAGAUUGGAUCAGUCAGCGGCUGAGGUGCGCAGACCUGGAGAGAAGGUCAAGCUGUCCUGUACCAUCUCUGGGUUUGAUAUGACAAGCUACUACAUGCACUGGGUACGGCAGAAAGCAGGAGGACCACUGGAGUGGAUUGGAAGGAUGAACACUGGUAGUGCUGUGAAGAAAGGCCCAGCUUAUUUGUAUCCCCUUCUGCCAUGUGGGACCAAAGACGGGUUUGUCCACCUUGGCUGUAUGGCCAGUGACUUCUCACCAGCAGCCUCUCUGAGCUUCAGCUGGAAGGACGGCAGCUCCCAGCCACUGCAGGACUUCACACAAUACCCUCUGGUGGAGCAGAAUGGAGUACACAUGGGGGUCAGUCAGAUCCGCGUCAGAGCAGAAGACUGGGAGAAGUCGUCCUACCAGUGUACCGUGACACAUCCAGCACUUCCGAGUGACAAGACUGUCACCAUAGAAAAGCCAGUUCCACCGUCAGUCCCAACCAACAAGCCCUGCCUGGAUCUGACCCUGAAGUCGCCAAGGAUAAUAGAGCUGUUCAGUAACAAUGAGAUCGUGUUGGACUGCAUCAUCAGUGGGAGAGACCAGGGGGCAGUGGAGCAAGCUGUGGUCACCUGGAAGGUGGACCAAGUGGUGACAUCAGCAAAUGUCAACACAGCCAGCGGUGCUACGAGAUUGAAAGGUGGCUUUGUGAGGAACAGCACCCUAACCCUGAGUGGGACUCCCUCCAAGGGUAAAACGAUAGAGUGUCUGGUUCAGCAGAACGACGGGUCUCCCAUCUCGGAGACACUCACCAUCGGACAAGAACGUCAGUCCCCUCCUACAGUCUCCAUUGCUAUUCCUGCUGACCUUAGUGCAACAGAGUUCAUGCUGGCAUGCCUGGUGAUGGACUUUUCUCCCAGUGAGGUAUACGUAGCGUGGCAGGUGGAUAAUGGUGGAUAUGAGGCAGGGAUUACUAGUGAGCCAGUGGCGGUUGGCAAUAAGUUCUCUGUCACUAGCCUGUUCAAGGUCUUAAAAGUGAAGUGGAAUGAAGGCAUCACCUACUCCUGCAUUGCAAGACAUGGAUCUCAGGAGCAGCACAAAGUGCCCGCAAUCAAAAGAGUGAGCAAACUCACGGAAGAGCCUCGCUCUCCUGCUCCGGAACCGGACCACUGCGAUACGUGCAACUGCAGUGAAGUAGUUCCGCAAGAGGACGAGCUCAGCAGCCUGUGGAAAACGGCUUUCUCCUUCAUCAUCCUCUUCCUCACCAGCCUCACCAUUUUGGGCUUCAAUGUCUAUUACACCCAUUUAAAGGAGAUCUAGUGAUUUCAACAUCAAGAAGAGGAUUUCAUACAAUAAACUAUCAUCCAUUGCAUAUAUAUUAGAAUAUCAUUUGGUUUUGAAUCCUUGUGUAUUUGUAAUAUUACUAUGUAACAUGGAUGUGCAUGUCCCAUAUCCAAUUGUCUCUCUCUCUCAUAUUUUUUAAUCUGUCAGUUAGGUUUGUUCCCUGCACACUUGGCUGUAAUAAUGCUUGUCUUCAAAUAACAACUUAAGAAUAUUCGAGGAUAUAUUAACUUCAUUUUCAUUUAAUAUUUACUCAUUUUCAUUUAAUCUUGACUCGUAUUUUUACAUACCCUGAUUUUAUGUAUUCAGAUCAUAAAACCAAUCUGCAUAAAUUUAUGCUAAAAUACUCUGUCAUUAAUAAUCACUGUACAACAUUUUUGUUCUGCAUAUCUACAAAUAAAGUUUUGAUUGUUAAGA